rnacentral:rRNA from 1 species
GAUGAACGCUGGCGGCGUGCCUAAUACAUGCAAGUCGAGCGAACAGACGAGGAGCUUGCUCCUCUGACGUUAGCGGCGGACGGGUGAGUAACACGUGGAUAACCUACCUAUAAGACUGGGAUAACUUCGGGAAACCGGAGCUAAUACCGGAUAAUAUAUUGAACCGCAUGGUUCAAUAGUGAAAGACGGUUUUGCUGUCACUUAUAGAUGGAUCCGCGCCGCAUUAGCUAGUUGGUAAGGUAACGGCUUACCAAGGCAACGAUGCGUAGCCGACCUGAGAGGGUGAUCGGCCACACUGGAACUGAGACACGGUCCAGACUCCUACGGGAGGCAGCAGUAGGGAAUCUUCAGAAAUGGGCGAAAGCUUGACGGAGCAACGCCGCGUGAGUGAUGAAGGUCUUCGGAUCGUAAAACUCUGUUAUUAGGGAAGAACAAAUGUGUAAGUAACUAUGCACGUCUUGACGGUACCUAAUCAGAAAGCCACGGCUAACUACGUG